rnacentral:rRNA from 1 species
UCCNGCCNUGCCGCGUGUGUGAAGAAGGNCUUAGGGUUGUNAAGCACUUUCAGGGGUGAGGAAGGGUGCGCUGUUAAUACCAGCGUACUUUGACGUUAGCCCCAGAAGAAGCACCGGCUAACUCUGUGCCAGCAGCCGCGGUAAUACAGAGGGUGCAAGCGUUAAUCGGAAUUACUGGGCGUAAAGCGCGCGUAGGUGGUUUGUUAAGUCUGAUGUGAAAUCCCAGGGCUCAACCUUGGAAUGGCACCGGAUACU